GCAGACACUCAAGUACAAUCUGCUCCGCAAAGAUCCUGAGACACCGCUUUGUAAAAGCCGAGGAUGAAAUCAUCGUAGCCCGUUUGUUGGUGCGGGGAUACGCCCUAACCAAGAAGAGAGUGGAGAAGCGGGCCAUCCUGAGGUCUCUCCGUGCAGAGUUAUGUCCAGGUGUUCCUGUUCCUACUAUAAAGAGGAGAGGACCGCGAAAACAGAAAAAAACAUCCACUAAAUGUGGUAGUGAUGGAGGUCUCAACAACAGAUGAGGAGGAUUCACAAGAGCAGGCAGGACCCUCAGAGGAUGUAGCAGCCCCUCCACCACCUGAUGGCAAUAUGAUGGCUCCUAUGAAAGCUCAUGAGCCAGGACCCUCCCAUGAGCUUCAGGAUGAGGUGACUGACACACCUGAUGUGGGAGAAGAGGUGGAGGUGGAAGACGCUGGACCCUCCCAGCCACCACAAGAACCCCCACCACUCGAAAAAUGUUUAUUUUGUUCUGUUCUAAUGUCUGACUGCAUUCUUUCAUAUUGUUAGCAUAAUUUCUGUUUGUCCUGAUCAUAUUGAGUUUAGGGUAGACCGUACCCUCCACUGUUACCUUAACCUGCUGCUGCUGUCUGUCCUGUUCCGUAUGACUUUGCACUACGACUCAAGGGGCCUUCCUGCAACCUGAUAAAUUUAAAUCUAUAUAUAAAAAAGGAUGUAUCUGUGUGUGUAUGUAUAUGUGUAUGUUCCGCAAAA